CUCUGGAUGUAGAUAGCGUUUUCCAUCAUGAGUCUUUUGGAAUUGUCUUGGAUCAUUGUAUUGCUGAGAAGAGCCAGUUCAAUCAUCGUUGAUCAUUGCACAAGAAUAAAUAUUUUUCUAAAUCUAGAGGUUUCAUAGAACUCCAUGGGUUUCAAGGACUCCAUAGAUUUCACCAGCCUUGCCAAGGUGUCUAUGACACAAACAGCCCAAUCUGGAUGUUCUAAUAGGAUGCCUCUCACCUCAGCAUUGUGCUAUGCAGUCAUAGCAACAAAUUGUUUCUGGGAAGGUGAAGAUGUGGAUAAAGGAGGAGGGAGCCAAUGUCUCAUGUUCUCCAUUUCUCACUUAUUCAAUGUGAAGCCUCUGCUGGUAUGUGAAGAGACUGCAUUGAGAUCACCUGUAAUGGAAGUCACAAACUAUGAGAUGAGAUUGGCAUCUCUUCUCCCUCUCACCUACCCAGCUUCUAUUAGUAGUGGCUUGGAAAGUAGAGAAGGAUCUAAUGUCCUCUGAAAUUUCCUUCCCUUAGGAUCCACAGAAAAGAAGAGGAUCCUUCUGUAGAACAAGAAGGGUGCUCCUCUCAUUCCUGGAAGUAUGAGCAAUGGAAAUUUCAUGCUUACUUGAUCACAUGCUCUAAGAUCUUACUGACACAAGAAAGUUUUUUAAGUCUAACUUCAAUCUUUCUUCCUCUUAUUUUAUGCUGAUGGACUUAGGAAGACUGAGGGGUGAGCACAAUAGGGAUCUUACCUGGGUCUCAUUCUCUCAUUCUUGGAAGUUUUCUUAUUGUUAGUCAGCUUGAGGUUUUUAUUUAUUUAUUUAUUUAUUUUAGACAAUUGAGGUUAAGUGACUUGCCCAGGGUCACACAGCCAGUAA